AGAUUCUGCGUAGCUGCAGGGGUUGAGUCACAGUUUGAACCGCAGCAGUAAAAUAAUCCCUGCAGCCUCAAUAAAAAGAUGCUGUACCUAAUUUCCAGACUAAUGCCAGAUGCGAGGAGGUUGCCGAUUGAAGCGAGUGGGGAAUCUGAUCAUGUGGAGGCAGACAGACAGGGUGAGCAGGAGAAUCAUGGGUUGUGGAAAAGUGUUACUGACACAAAUACGACUGGGAGGAAAUCUGAUUUGGCGCUAUGGAAACACGCCCCCCUCCGUCUCCUAGUAAAACUCCCAGAAUACCAGGUGAGGCAACAGAUUAAAACCUGCACAGUCUAAAACCUUGUCGUAAAGCAUAGACCUCCUCAAAGUUGUCCGUGCCCCUUUGGAACACAUUGGCUGAUAUUGAUGAUACAUUUUAUAGCCAUUUGUCGUCUUUGUCAAGUUGUCAUUUUCAGAGUGGCUUGCAACUGAUCUCAGAGUGCAAAGUAAAGAUGCCCUGUCUGACCCAGAUAAGUGAAGCACAUGCCUUAAUAAACACACAGAUUAAUUUUGGUAUAUAUUGAUGUGUUGAAUAUGUAACAGAGCCUGUGUGUAUCAGACAGGAGUACCAGCAGCUGGCGUGUCAGCAGCUAUACCUUCCCUUUCCUGAGGACCAAGGGAGCUGUGCAGGAGACAUGAGGACAGUCUGCUCACACAUUCUUAAAGCCAUCAUGGACCAGCAGACGGGGCUGUGCUCAUGGCAGGGGCUGUCCCCUGAGCUGUAACUGUCGACCAGGAGAAGUGAACUAAACCAAAUCCCUGAUCAGUCUUCACUGUCCACUGCUCCUCGUCUCUGCUAGUGUACAGUACAUUAUACUACCAGGAACACGUCUGAUUGUUAAGCUGAGUUCAAAGAAGGGGUGUCAUGCCCUGUUCCCUCUGCCCCGCCCCUGCUCCUGGCAGCCUGUCUGCACUGUGUAUGGGAGUGGCCAGGGCCAGGGCAUCAGGACAAGCCUGGAGAUGUUGGGACAGCUGGCAGAGCAGCACAGACAGGUUAUGGAUGUGAUUCAGAUCUGGACUCUUCGCUCGCCACUCCAGAUCAGUCCAGUGCUUCUUCUUGAACCAUUCCAGGAUCCCGUCUCUCACAGUUGAAGUGUACCUAUGAUAAAAAAUGACAGACCUCUACAUGCUUUCCUGGUCCCCCAUCUUAACUCUGAGAUGUUGGAGAGGACAUUGAAGGCCCCAGGGUUCCUGUGCUCUGCUACUCAUCCCUUAUCAAGCUCUUUAUGGAUGGCCAGACUUUUUUCCCUGUGACCAAGCACCCAACUGAUGAGAUGGACCCCCUCCCAGAUUCUGACUCGGGCCCAGUAGGUGGUUCUGAAGACUCUCUGACAUCCCCAACCUCACUGUCUCAACAUCAGCUCAACCAGGUAACACAUUAGUGCACUGACCACCCAGAGCAAGGCUGAUCGCAGUCUGUAGCCCAUAG